UUCUUGUCUUAUAGUUCUGGUGAUAUUUCAUUUCAUGAUUCAUGUUUGAUAGAAGACAUUAAAGUCUGGGCAUGUCAUUGCGAUCUUCUUUAGCUGAUUAGGGCUUUCUUGUUCGAUUCAGGAUGGCAAAGCGUGGGGGAUUGUUCACAAAGAUGGCUUGCGAGCUGCGGAAGUUCCAAAGAAGAUAAGUGGAGUUCACAAGCGCUGCUGGAAGUAUUCCUAACCUGUCAAAGACCACACCUCCUACCGCCUCCGAAGCCCAAGCUGCCUGAUAUGUUUUACUUCCAUUGUUUGUGGGUACUUUAUCAGAUAUAUUGUAUCUGUUUGCAGUUUCUUUUACUGUGGAAGAUACAUCUGUUGUUACUUGAUAUGUCCCUUUGAAUUCGUUGAUAACUUUUUAGGGAUACGUAAUCUUCGGAUGAGAUCUGUUUUAGGUUCAUCUUAUUAAAGACUUUUGCGCUUCUUGGGAUGGA